AACGAACGCUGGCGGUAUGCUUAACACAUGCAAGUCGAACGAACAAAAUUGGGGCUUGCUCCAAUUUUAGUGAGUGGCAAACGGGUGAGUAACACGUGGGAAUCUACCUAUCAGUACGGAAUAACAUUUGGAAACAGAUGCUAAUACCGUAUAUUCUCCAAGGAGGAAAGAUUUUAUCGCUGAUAGAUGAGCCCGCGUAAGAUUAGGUAGUUGGUAGGGUAAUAGCCUACCAAGCCGACGAUCUUUAGCUGGUCUGAGAGGAUGAUCAGCCACACUGGGACUGAGACACGGCCCAGACUCCUACGGGAGGCAGCAGUGGGGAAUAUUGGACAAUGGGCGAAAGCCUGAUCCAGCAAUACCGCGUGAAUGAUGAAGGCCUUAGGGUUGUAAAGUUCUUUUAGUUGGAAAGAUAAUGACGGUACCAACAGAAAAAGCCCGGCUAACUCCGUG
rnacentral:rRNA from 1 species